rnacentral:tRNA from 1 species
GCGCUUAUAGCUCAGCUGGACAGAGCAUCUCCCUCCUAAGGAGAGGGUCGGACGUUCGAAUCGUCUUAAGCGCGCCA